UUUAAGUGCAACCAUAGUUUUCAUGCCCAAUUUUGAUCAUUCGUCUUAUUUAAAUUUUUUUAUAAUUAGUAUUUUUAUUGUUAUGAGAUGAGAAAACAUGAAUAGUAAUUUAUACAUGACUUAUGUCUUUAAAUUUUUUAAAAUUUUUUCAAAUAAGACGGAUGAUUAAAGUUAUGCAUGGAAAAUCAUGGCUGCACAACAC
rfam:Oryza barthii chromosome 11, whole genome shotgun sequence.